GUAGGUGAACCUGCGGAAGGAUCAUUAAAAGAGGGUCGUAAGACCUAUUUUUAAAACCUACCACCGCCUCUCAUUGGGAUGGAGGAGGUAUGGUUUUUUAAAAUCCAAUUAUUACAAAAUAUAUAUAUCGUCUAAUGACGAAACAAAAAAAAUAUUUAAAAACUUUCAACAAUGGAUCUCUUGGCUCUCGCAUCGAUGAAGAACGCAGCAUCUGACUGACUGGCAGUGU
rnacentral:misc_RNA from 1 species